rnacentral:rRNA from 1 species
GAUGAACGCUGGCGGCGUGCCUAAUACAUGCAAGUCGAGCGAACGGACGAGAAGCUUGCUUCUCUGAUGUUAGCGGCGGACGGGUGAGUAACACGUGGAUAACCUACCUAUAAGACUGGGAUAACUUCGGGAAACCGGAGCUAAUACCGGAUAAUAUUUUGAACCGCAUGGUUCAAAAGUGAAAGACGGUCUUGCUGUCACUUAUAGAUGGAUCCGCGCUGCAUUAGCUAGUUGGUAAGGUAACGGCUUACCAGGGCAACGAUGCAUAGCCGACCUGAGAGGGUGAUCGGCCACACUGGAACUGAGACACGGUCCAGACUCCUACGGGAGGCAGCAGUAGGGAAUCUUCCGCAAUGGGCGAAAGCCUGACGGAGCAACGCCGCGUGAGUGAUGAAGGUCUUCGGAUCGUAAAACUCUGUUAUUAGGGAAGAACAUAUGUGUAAGUAACUGUGCACAUCUUGACGGUACCUAAUCAGAAAGCCACGGCCAACUACGUG